rnacentral:lncRNA from 1 species
UCCCCGGGAAGCAGCAGGCGCACGGCCGUCUGGAUCUCCCUGGAGGUGAUGGUCGAGCGCUUGUUGUAAUGCGCCAGGCGGGAAGCCUCGCCUGCGAUGCGCUCGAAGAUGUCGUUGACGAAGGAAUUCAUGAUCCCCAUUGCCUUGGAAGAGAUGCCGGUGUCGGGAUGGACCUGCUUCAGCACCUUGUACACAUACACUGAAUAGCUCUCCUUGCGGCUGCGCUUGCGCUUCUUCCCGUCCUUCUUCUGAGCCUUAGUCACCGCCUUCUUGGAGCCCUUCUUUGGGGCAGGAGCAGACUUGGUAGGUUCAGGCAUCGUAGCGUUAAUAGUUAGAACACUGUUGCAAACA